AACAGGAUUAGAUACCCUGGUAGUCCACGCCCUAAACGAUGUCUACUAGUUGUCGGGUCUUAAUUGACUUGGUAACGCAGCUAACGCGUGAAGUAGACCGCCUGGGGAGUACGGUCGCAAGAUUAAAACUCAAAGGAAUUGACGGGGACCCGCACAAGCGGUGGAUGAUGUGGAUUAAUUCGAUGCAACGCGAAAAACCUUACCUACCCUUGACAUGGAUGGAAUCCCGAAGAGAUUUGGGAGUGCUCGAAAGAGAACCAUCACACAGGUGCUGCAUGGCUGUCGUCAGCUCGUGUCGUGAGAUGUUGGGUUAAGUCCCGCAACGAGCGCAACCCUUGUCAUUAGUUGCUACGAAAGGGCACUCUAAUGAGACUGCCGGUGACAAACCGGAGGAAGGUGGGGAUGACGUCAAGUCCUCAUGGCCCUUAUGGGUAGGGCUUCACACGUCAUACAAUGGUACAUACAGAGGGCCGCCAACCCGCGAGGGGGAGCUAAUCCCAGAAAGUGUAUCGUAGUCCGGAUUGGAGUCUGCAACUCGACUCCAUGAAGUUGGAAUCGCUAGUAAUCGCGGAUCAGCAUGUCGCGGUGAAUACGUUCCCGGGUCUUGUACACACCGCCCGUCACACCAUGGGAGCGGGUUUUACCAGAAGUGGGUAGCCUAACCGCAAGGAGGGCGCUCACCACGGUAGGAUUCGUGACUGGGGUGAAGUCGUAACAAGGUAACC
rnacentral:rRNA from 1 species